rnacentral:tRNA from 1 species
CGCGGGGUGGAGCAGUUUGGUAGCUCGUCGGGCUCAUAACCCGAAGGUCGUUGGUUCAAAUCCAGCCCCCGCAACUA